rnacentral:rRNA from 1 species
GACGAACCGUGCGAACGUUGUUCGGAAUCACUGGGCUUAAAGGGCGCGUAGGCGGGCUACCAAGUCUGUGGUGAAAUCCUCCAGCUCAACUGGAGAACGGCCGUGGAUACUGGGAGCCUCGAGGGAGAUAGGGGCAGGCGGAACUGAUGGUGGAGCGGUGAAAUGCGUUGAUAUCAUCAGGAACUCCGGUGGCGAAGGCGGCCUGCUGGAUCUCAUCUGACGCUGAGGCGCGAAAGCCAGGGAGCAAGCGGG